CCUUUUUAUUACUCUUUUUUAAGAAAUGCAACAAGAGCCUUACAAACCAUCCAUCUGAAGAGCAAGCACAAAGACCGGAUAUUUGUGGUGCCACCGCAGUUGCAGAAAGGAAUGUCAGUCAGAAAUGAAUUGUGUUUCAGUCACUCUGCAUGGUUGCUGCCACGCAUGGAACAUUUUUAGGCCAACUUUUUAAAAUUCCCAGUUAAGUCCUUACAGAACUCAUUCAGAAAGAGGAGAGGCCAGCAUGAUGGCUCACACCUGUAAUCCCAGCUAUACAGAAGGCUGAGGACCAAGGAUUGCUUGAGGCCAGGAGAGCUCUGCUAUGUCUUAUGUAAUAUUUUAACCAUCAAUUUAACAGACUGCAGUUGACUGUGGCUAACUGAAACCGAAGAAAGCAAAACCGUGGAUAAGGGGGGACUACUGUAUUGUGAGAAGACUGACUGCAGUUGAGGAAAAGGUAUAUGGAUAUAAGUUCAAG
rnacentral:lncRNA from 10 species